CAGUCGCCGCGGUAAAACAGAGGGUGCAAGCGUUAAUCGGAAUUACUGGGCGUAAAGCGCGCGUAGGUGGUUUGUUAAGUUGAAUGUGAAAUCCCCGGGCUCAACCUGGGAACUGCAUCCAAAACUGGCAAGCUAGAGUAGGGUAGAGGGUGGUGGAAUUUCCUGUGUAGCGGUGAAAUGCGUAGAUAUAGGAAGGAACACCAGUGGCGAAGGCGACCACCUGGACUCAUACUGACACUGAGGUGCGAAAGCGUGGGGAGCAAACAGGAUUAGAUACCCCCGUAGUCCCUGUCUCUUAUAC
rnacentral:rRNA from 1 species